ensembl:lncRNA
CCCAUGUUCCCCCUCACAAGGACAUGAGGGAAUUGGGACCAACUGCUGCUGCCACCACUGCCACCUGCUGAGAUCUCCAGCUCAAAGUGACCUGGACCUACUCCAUCUUCUGGGGCAGAGAGGUGGCACCACGGUUUGAGUCCCCCAGAAUAACUGAAGCAGGCACAAGGAAAACUGCCUGAAGAUAACAUUUUAUCAGCCAGCCACUCAAGCCUGUACGUGACCAGAUGUUUUGAGAGAAAAACCCAUUUGUGCUAGGCACACAGCAG